rnacentral:rRNA from 1 species
UACGUAGGUGGCAAGCGUUGUCCGGAAUAACUGGGUGUAAAGGGCGAGUAGGUGGGGAAUUAAGUCAGAUGUGAAAUUUGGGAGCUCAACUCCUAAGCUGCAUCUGAAACUAAAUCUCUUGAGUGCUGGAGAGGAAAGCGGAAUUCCUAGUGUAGCGGUGAAAUGCGUAGAUAUUAGGAGGAACACCAGUGGCGAAGGCGGCUUUCUGGACAGUAACUGACACUGAGGCGCGAAAGCGUGGGGAGCGAAC